rnacentral:rRNA from 1 species
ACUCCUACGGGAGGCAGCAGUAGGGAAUCUUCCACAAUGGGCGCAAGCCUGAUGGAGCAACACCGCGUGAGUGAAGAAGGGUUUCGGCUCGUAAAGCUCUGUUGUUAAAGAAGAACACGUAUGAGAGUAACUGUUCAUACGUUGACGGUAUUUAACCAGAAAGUCACGGCUAACUACGUGCCAGCAGCCGCGGUAAUACGUAGGUGGCAAGCGUUAUCCGGAUUUAUUGGGCGUAAAGAGAGUGCAGGCGGUUUUCUAAGUCUGAUGUGAAAGCCUUCGGCUUAACCGGAGAAGUGCAUCGGAAACUGGAUAACUUGAGUGCAGAAGAGGGUAGUGGAACUCCAUGUGUAGCGGUGGAAUGCGUAGAUAUAUGGAAGAACACCAGUGGCGAAGGCGGCUACCUGGUCUGCAACCGACGCUGAGACUCGAAAGCAUGGGUAGCGAACAGGAUUAGAUACCCCUGGUAGGAUAGCG